rnacentral:rRNA from 1 species
UACAGAGGGUGCAAGCGUUGUUCGGAAUUAUUGGGCGUAAAGGGCGCGUAGGCGGUGCGGUAAGUCUGUAGUGAAAUCUCUGGGCUCAACUCAGAGUCUGCUGCAGAAACUGCCGUGCUUGAGUGUGGGAGAGGUGAGUGGAAUUCCCGGUGUAGCGGUGAAACGCGUAGAUAUCGGGAGGAACACCUGUGGCGAAAGCGGCUCACUGGACCACAACUGACGCUGAGGCGCGAAAGCUAGGGGAGCAAACAGG